rnacentral:lncRNA from 1 species
GGUUUCUACCAGUCUAGGGGCAGGGAGAUGCCAGGCCACAGUAAAGGAUCCAUGGGGGACCUGAGUGGACCGGGAAGAAUUUUUUUUUUUUUGGUCUCUUCCUUCUGUCUAGCACAGCCACCCACUCAUUCAUUCUUCAGCAUCCCAGGCAGGAGGGCGCGCCAUUUACAUCUGGGGAAACAGAGGCUUAGAGAGUCACAGAUGUGCGGUCAGAGAAAGGCAGACCGUGCGCACUCACACUUGGCCUCAAUGGUUCUGGGCCGCAUGCUCGCUGCAGCAUGCAAGGGAAAACUGUCUCCUCACAUUAGCUGGGCGGGGCCUCCCCGGCGUCUUGCGUCUUGCGUGGGCCGGAGGCUGCCAGCACUGAGGUGGGCUGUGUUUAUUCCUAUGAAGGGAAAGGUCAUUAGUCCUCAUACUCUGGAAGAUUUUCUCCCUGAGUCAAUACAAAGACCCGCAUGG